rnacentral:lncRNA from 10 species
UUUUUUUUUGUAGAGAUGGAGUCCUACUACAUUGCCCAGGCUGGUCUCAAACUCCUGGACUCAAAUGAUCCUCCCGACUAUCAGCCUUCUUGCUGGUAGAUCCAGUGGCUAUUUCCUGGCCCCUCUUAUGUGACUUGUGGCAUCAACCUUGUCUGUCCACUCCCUUCACCUCCCUGCUAUCUCACAUACCUGCUUCUUUUCCUCUGUUACUUUUCAUGCAUUGUGGGCUCUCUGGAGGCCAAGGGAUCUUUUUUUCUUUUUUUUUUUUUGAGAUGGAAUCUCGCUCUUGUCACCCAGGUUGGAGGCUGGAGCUGGAGUGCAGUGGCGCGAUCUCGGCUCACUGCAAAGCUCCGCCUCCCAGGUUCACGCCAUUCUCCUG